CUGCAGCCAAUGAAGCCAACCAGGUUCCUUUCCCCAUGGGGGUCUAGUGUGCAAUAGUUGCAAACACUAUCCUCCUUGGUGGCAUAUGCAGCUUAUUGAAUGCGCAGGCUGCCCAAAGGGACCUUGGAGACAGUU
ensembl:snoRNA SNORA70 Small nucleolar RNA SNORA70